GUGCACAGUUCGCCGAUGGCGCCGCGCGGCACGAGGUUGCCGGCCUCGUCGAUGAUCUUGCUUUCCAGUUGCGGCUGCGUACG
rnacentral:tRNA from 1 species